CUUUGUAUACUAUUUGUUUUCUUUUUUAUAUUUGAUUGUUAAAUGAUAAUUAUUUGAAUGACAGUAUUGGAGUUGUAAUUUAAGAAAUUUAUGUGCACAUUGUUUAACAUUGCUUGAAUGCAAAAAGGGGAGGUACAUUUUGGGGCUCAUUUGGCUAUGUAAAUUGGCAGAGAAUGAAAUAUACAUACUACAAUUAUCAUUGUUCCCCGCGUAACGUGUUGGGACUUGGAAAUACUGGGCGUCCGUCCAUCUUUCCUGUCCGUCUUUGUGUCUAUAAAUACUAAUUUUGAAAUUACAAAAUUACAACAUCCAACCCAUAAACAUUUACUAAGAUCAUACUUUCAGGUGUCUUUAGUUUUAUGUACAUACUUUUAUUGCCGUCCUUUUAUUUGAAAUUGUGUUCAUUAUUUUAGAUAUUUACUGUUUUUUAUUUUAAAUACUAUAUUAUUGUCAUUCCAUCAUUCUCAGAUGAAUAUGACCUAACAUGCCUAAGGGGCAACAUUUGUAUGACAAUUAGCAAGCAGAUUAAUCCUGGUAAACUACAUACAUCUUAGAUGGUAAAAAUGUCUUCAUGAUUUAUAUUUACUCAAAUGUAUUUUGUACUUUUUGUAAAUUGUUAUUUGGAUGGAGCGUUGUCUCAUUGGCACUCACACC
rnacentral:lncRNA from 1 species